AUUGGCUAUUUUUUGCAUAGAGGGAUUCAAACAUGUAAAAAGCCAGCACUGUUUAAGCAUGCAACACUUUUUAUUCUGAUUUUCUUUAAGGAAUUCCUGCACAAUUACAUUGAAUGACGUGUGCAGAGCAGAGGCUGUGGAGAAGCCCGUGUUAUCGUGCACUCUACACAUUUCACAGUUGCUCUAUUUUCAGAAGCUAUGAUCCUUAAGGAGAGAUUAGAUAGUCAGUCACUUACCUACUGAUCUCUGCAGCUUGUACACAAAAGUACGUGCAGUAUAUGAUUUUUUCUAAACUGCCACGUGACAUCCUGCUGAUUGCUACUGUAAUACUACUCAACUAUCCUCCCCCAAAAGUGAUCUAAUCCCAUAUAUGGGACCUGGCCUCCACUCAGCAGCUGGCUAGAGGGUGCUCAGGAAAGCUGUGUGAUAUGGGACAUCUUGUAUAGUUUGAAAAAAGACAGGCUGGAGCAAGAGAUGAAUUCUGUAUCAGCUUUUCUUUCCACAGCUAUCCAGGGUGGAUCUUUAGCCACAUCACAAGAUUUUACCUGAGAUCUACAGACUCUGAGCAGCGGCAUAACCGAGCAUCCCAGGCAGAUGUAGCUGAUUCCAAUCUUUGCAUAAAUGAUGGAUGUUAAAUCAAUUCUGAGAGAUGGACUGGAAGCUAACAUAAUACAGUAAAAGCUGUGUUACCCAGCACUUUACCAACUGGAAAGCUCUAUAAACCGACAUAUCUGAUCUUCAUUGAAAGUCCGGUAUAUAGUCCGGUUGGUGCAGGGCCUGCAGGCUCCUUACCUGGCUCCGUGUGGCUCCCCAGAAGCGGUGACAUGACCCUGCAGCUCCUAGGCAGAGGAAAAGCCACAAGGUGUUUGGAG